GGGCCCGCACAAGCGGUGGAGCAUGUGGUUUAAUUCGACGCAACGCGAAGAACCUUACCAGCUCUUGACAUGGGUAGUAUGGGCCUGGGCGACUGGGCUCUUCAGUUCGGCUGGCUACCACACAGGUGCUGCAUGGCUGUCGUCAGCUCGUGUCGUGAGAUGUUGGGUUAAGUCCCGCAACGAGCGCAACCCUCAUCUUCAGUUGCCAUCAGGUUAAGCUGGGCACUCUGGGGAAACUGCCGGUGACAAGCCGGAGGAAGGCGGGGAUGACGUCAAGUCCUCAUGGCCUUUAUGGGCUGGGCUACACACGUGCUACAAUGGCGGUGACAGUGGGUUCUGCGCGAAGGGGCGACCCGGAGCCAAUCCCCAAAAGCCGUCUCAGUUCGGAUUGCACUCUGCAACUCGAGUGCAUGAAGCUGGAAUCGCUAGUAAUCGCGGAUCAGCACGCCGCGGUGAAUACGUUCCCGGGCCUU
rnacentral:rRNA from 1 species